AGCAGCCGCGGUAAUUCCAGCUCCAAUAGCGUAUAUUAAAGUUGUUGCAGUUAAAAAGCUCGUAGUUGAAUUUUAGACCUGGCCGGGCGGUCCGUCUUUGGCGAGUACUGUUCUGUGUCGGGCCUUUCCUUCUGGUUAACCGGCGUGCUCUUCAUUGAGUGCGCCGUGCGAGCCAGGACCAUUACCUUGAAAAAAUUAGAGUGUUUAAAGCGGGCAUUUGCUUGAAUAGAUUAGCAUGGAAUAAUAGAAUAGGACGUUGGUUCUAUUUUGUUGGUCUAGGACCACCGUAAUGAUUAAUAGGGAUAGUUGGGGGCAUUAGUAUUCAAUUGUCAGAGGUGAAAUUCUUGGAUUUAUUGAAGACUAACUAUUGCGAAAGCAUUUGCCAAGGAUGUUUUCAUUAAUCAAGAACGAAAGUUAGGGGAUCGAAGACGAUCAGAUACCGUCGUAGUCUUAACCAUAAACUAUGCCGACUAGGAAUCGGGCGACGUUAUUUCAUGACUCGCUCGGCGCCCUUAUGGGA
rnacentral:rRNA from 1 species